AUUGAACGCUGGCGGCAUGCUUCACACAUGCAAGUCGAACGAGUGGCGCACGGGUGAGUAAUACAUCGGAACGUUUCCUAUCGCGGGGGAUAACUGCUCGAAAGAUCAGCUAAUACCGCAUACGAUUGGAUCGGCCGAUGUCGGAUUAGCUAGUUGGUGAGGUAAAGGCUCACCAAGGCGACGAGCGGUAGCUGGUCUGAGAGGAUGAUCAGCCACACUGGGACUGAGACACGGCCCAGACGCCUACGGGAGGCAGGAGUGUGGAAUUGUGGACAAUGGGGGCAAGCCUGAGCCAGACAUGCCGCGUGCAGGAUGAAGGUCGUCGGGUUGUAAGCUGCUUUUGGCAGGGAGGCGGUACCUGAAGAAUAAGCACCGGCUAACUACGUGCCAGCCGCCGCGGUAAUUC
rnacentral:rRNA from 1 species